UACGUAGGGUGCAAGCGUUAAUCGGAAUUACUGGGCGUAAAGCGUGCGCAGGCGGUUGUGCAAGACCGAUGUGAAAUCCCCGGGCUCAACCUGGGAAUGGCAUUGGUGACUGCACGGCUAGAGUGUGUCAGAGGGGGGUAGAAUCCACGUGUAGCAGUGAAAUGCGUAGAGAUGUGGAGGAAUACCGAUGGCGAAGGCAGCCCCCUGGGAUAACGACUGACGCUCAUGCACGAAAGCGUGGGGAGCAAACAGG
rnacentral:rRNA from 1 species